rfam:Schistosoma rodhaini strain Burundi genome assembly, scaffold: SROB_scaffold0011117
AGCUUUUUGAAUCCAUGCUGAGAUUCCGUCGGACACCAACCCAUUAGGGCUGAUCAAAAUCCGAAGAUAAGUGAAGUU